rnacentral:ncRNA from 1 species
UAGAUUCUAGGUGCCUUAUAUAUAGGUGAAAAGGGAAUGCGGUUAGAAUCCGUAACAGCCCCCGCUACUGUAUUUGAUUAUGAAUUUUGACUUUUAACUUUAAAAGUAAGAGCUCAAAAUAAAUAUGGAUCAUAAGCCAGGAGACCUGCCUAGUAGU